rnacentral:rRNA from 1 species
UACGUAGGAUCCAAGCGUUGCCCGGAUUUACUGGGUGUAAAGGGUGCGCAGGCGGACUUGUAAGUCAGGGGUGAAAUCUCACAGCUCAACUGUGAAACUGCCUUUGAUACUGCAAGUCUUGGAUCCAGAAGAGAGUUGUGGAAUUCCGAGUGUAGCAGUGAAAUGUGUAGAUAUUCGGAAGAACACCAGUGGCGAAGGCAGCAACUUGGUCUGGUAUCGACGCUCAGGCACGAAAGCAUGGGGAUCAAACAGG